rnacentral:rRNA from 1 species
AGAGUUUGAUCAUGGCUCAGGAUGAACGCUAGCGAUAGGCCUAACACAUGCAAGUCGAGGGGCAGCACAUGAAGUAGCAAUACGGAUGGUGGCGACCGGCGCACGGGUGAGUAACGCGUAUGCAACCUGCCUACAACAGGGGAAAUAACCCGUUGAAAAGACGGAUUAAUACCCCAUAACACAGGGAUCCCGCAUGGGAAUAUUUGUUAAAGAUUUAUCGGUUGUAGAUGGGCAUGCGUUCCAUUAGCUUGUUGGUGAGGUAACGGCUCACCAAGGCAACGAUGGAUAGGGGAACUGAGAGGUUUAUCCCCCACACUGGUACUGAGACACGGACCAGACUCCUACGGGAGGCAGCAGUGAGGAAUAUUGGUCAAUGGACGCAAGUCUGAACCAGCCACGUCGCGUGAAGGAAGACGGCCCUACGGGUUGUAAACUUCUUUUGUAAGGGAAUAAAGUGCAGUACGUGUACUGUUUUCAUGUACCUUACGAAUAAGGAUCGGCUAACUCCGUGCCAGCAGCCGCGGUAAUACGGAGGAUCCGAGCGUUAUCCGGAUUUAUUGGGUUUAAAGGGUGCGCAGGCGGGAGAUUAAGUCGGCGGUGAAAUUUUGCAGCUCAACUGUAAAAGUGCCUUCGAAACUGGUUUUCUUGAGUGUGGAUGAAGUAGGCGGAAUUUGUGGUGUAGCGGUGAAAUGCAUAGAUAUCACGAGGAACUCCGAUUGCGCAGGCAGCUUACUAAACCAUAACUGACGCUCAGGCACGAAGGCGUGGGGAUCAAACAGGAUUAGAUACCCUGGUAGU